GACGAACCGAGCGAACGUUGUUCGGAAUAACUGGGCGUAAAGGGCGCGUAGGCGGCUUUAUAAGUCGGGGGUGAAAGCCUGUGGCUCAACCACAGAAUUGCCUUCGAUACUGUAGAGCUUGAGACCGGAAGAGGUAAGUGGAACUGCGAGUGUAGAGGUGAAAUUCGUAGAUAUUCGCAAGAACACCAGUGGCGAAGGCGGCUUACUGGUCCGGUUCUGACGCUGAGGCGCGAAAGCGUGGGGAGCAAACAGG
rnacentral:rRNA from 1 species